GGCAGCCUCGGAGCACGGCUGGCUGGCGGAAAGUAGCUGCAGUGUCCUGGCAAAAUAUCUGUCCAAAAACGUCCCCAAAAACUGUCCCGGAAAGUUAGGUGUAACUGAAAGACAGGCAGCAGACUCAGACAGGCGCCAGUCCGCGAGGACAAGAGGAGGAAGAUGUUGUCCAUUGUGCCGCUGACAGAGACUCAGAUUCAGGCUCGCUUUACGCGGAGAGGAUACCUGCUUACCAAUGUGAUGUCUGAGACCUUGGCGACUGCUCAGCAGCAACAUACUGGAUACCAUGACGCUAAUGGCAAAGAGGAUUGUGGACUGAACUGCUGAGCUGAAUCAGCAGGACGAGGAAAGAGACAACCAUUACUUCUGGAUGAGAACUGAUGGGCUGUCCAAGCUGGGGAUAGCAUGCCAGCUGCAAAGGGCAAAGGUGGCACCAUGUCCCACCGCUACCGGCCAGCCUCAGAGUACGAUGAUGCCGCACUUGCCCAAAAGAGAGAAUACUGGAGAAACAAGAAGCGAGAGCAGAGGGCUCGUCUGUCAGAGCGAAGAGGAAAGCCAGUACAAGCUAGCAGGGGAGAGAAGCUUCUUCAUGUAAAUUCCAGUGUGCCCAGCUCCUUUAAGGCUUCAUCCUCUCCUUUGCAGAUCAGUGAUGAUUCUGCUUCACACAUUGGAAGUACAGUGGCGGACUGUUCACUUGAAGCCACUGAAAACCAAAAGGAAAAGUGGCUCCAGACAAUGAAACUUAACAAAGUUCUGCCUCAUUUGCCAUCAUUGUCGCAUUCCAAUUCAGCCAAAGCUGCAGGGGGCGACACAGCCACAGCGAAAUGUGCAACAGCUAGGGGUGCUGUGCACAGAGCUGUUACCUCAACCCCGAGCACCAGUUCCACAGUGCCUCCAGUGACCAGAAUUACAAAUGGCAGCUCCACUAAAACAGCACCUCCCCCAUGUGUGUCUAUGCAGGGCGCAUCAGUCCCCAAAACUCAACAGAAGGCACAAGCUGUAUCACCCAUUCAGCCCAAACUUCUCCCCAGCAGUAAGACCACAGGAGGUAUGCUUCUCGUGUCUUCUCCAUGCGGCUCUGUUUCUUUUAAAACGGAGGACACAGCAACACAAAAGAGUGCCUUGGUCAUGGUGCAGAGGGCUAAAGACAACGCACAACCUUCCCAAGAGUCCGAGGAGGAGAGGGCGGUAAGGCGCAGGGAGCAGUGGCGGAUCAAGAAACGAGAGCAGAGAGCAAAGCUGGCAGCUCGCUUACCCAAAGCCAGAGAGAGGACACAGGGAGCUGAGGUGAUGUUUCAGCGGCGAGCAGGACUCACAGGCAGCUCUGUUCUUCCAUCUCAGCCGUUUUUGAGAGGAGGCCAAAAACAGUGUGUUGUUCGGGUAAAAAUGCCUGUCAAAAGAGAAAAUGACAAAUUGCAAAAUGGAGCGGCAAACACAAUAAUACACCAGAUAAAGGUACAGAAUCCAUAUGAGGAUAAGGCAAGGGAAUCACAGAGGAGGUUUUCAAGUUUCGUACAUCUUUCUAAUGUCACCCGAGGGAUUGCGCGAUGUAAAACUCCCAGACAAAGGUUCAUUGAAGCACAGAAGAACUUCCUGAUUCAGAGAAACAACAGAUUUAAAUCCCCAUUGAUGGUUUCUGUGUUUAGUUCUAGAAACAUACCCAAAAUCAACCCAAAUGACACACCAGAGCAGAUCAUAGCAAAACGCAGAGAAUACUGGCGGAUUAAAAAGCGUGAGCAGCGGGCUAAGCUGUCAAUGGAAAUGAAGGCUCGGUUGAAAGAGAAAGACUCUCUGAUGCGAAGGGUAAAACGUUAUCAGAAAAUACUCGAGGACAUGAGGAAGGCCAGAGCUGUAAACGCCCUCACCCACGCUUCUGAGACCAUCGGGGGGUUCAUCAAAGAGGACGGAACACUAACUGUUAACAUGCCCACAAAUCAGAGUGUGGCAGAGGAAAAGACUGAAGGAGAGCUGCGUGUAGCUUCUAAAAGUUCUUCCACCACACGUUCACAGCUUCAGUCUGAGAAGAGAGGUGUCACUCUCCUCAGGAUCCAGGCGCCUCCCCCUCCUCUCUGUGCAGCUCAGGUCAAAGUUUCUUUCCCUCUUGCUGAACAUUCAGUCAAUAAACCUCCAAGACUGCUGUCCAUCAGACCACAGCUUCAGCCUGAAAGCACAACUGUUCCUCACACACACUCAGCUGGUCAGCUCACACUCACUCAUCCCCAAACUCCUCCAAACUCCACUCCCAGCGGAUCAACGACUGGGUCAAACCUUGGCAGCUGUGUCAUGAAAAUGGCUGUCUCAAGUGGUGCUCCUUCUUUGUCUGCUCUGUCUAUAGGCCAAGGUUUAACAGAGGAGGAGAGGAUGGCGAAGAAAAGGGAGUACUGGAGGAUAAAGAAGCGUGAACAGCGUGCAGCUCGUGCUGUUUGGCUAAAGCAGGGUGUCUUACAAGCGAGAGCCAACACAGCCUUACAGAAAAGGAACACUCAGAAGCAAGAAGCAAAACCAGCUAUGUCAGGACAUGCACAGCCUCCCCCCAGCAACAGCAGCACCACGCCUGUUAUGCCCAGUGCAAAGGAGAUAAAACAUGAGAGUGAGUCUGUGCCAGCAGUUGACCUAAAUUCUCAACCAGAACAAGCCAUCUGUCCAGAUAUCAAACCUCCAACGCCUCCGCCUGAGCCUGACCCAGCUCUCAGUGCAGACAGCCAGGCUACCACUUUGCUAGCGGUGGCCUCUAUGAAGAAGCUCCUGGAGGAGUCGCUCAGCGCUGUGACAGAGACAGCUGAUGUUGAAGUACAGACAUCAGAAGAAACUUCAAAGCAAUGCAUAAAGUCUGAUUUACCUCCGCUGUUUUUUGAAAGGGAUGACAUGGCUCCUAUUGCAGCCGAUCAGACCCUGCAGAUAAAAAGCAGGCAGCCAGAUAGUGAUGUCUUACAGGCGGAUUCCAAAACCUCACAGCUCGGUAGUAGUGAUCCUUCCUCCAGUGAGGUAGCCCUGAUUCGUAUUAGUGAACCUUCAUCCAAGGCCUGCUCAAACUUCACAGUGAACCCCCCAGUGGAAUCCUCUGAAGGCCCAUCCUCACCACGCAGAACCCACAGGCUUCGCCCCAAAAAGCCAGGCCAUCAAACCUGCUGCUCUCCAGAUCCACCAAAGCUACAUCACCUCAUAGCUGCACCCCCGGAUGAACUACAGCAGCGACCCUGUGAACAACAACGGUGUCCUGUACCAGAACAACUCCAAAACAGUACCUCGGCUUCAGCACAAAGGUAUCACAGUGUGGAGAUGGAGCAGAGCGGCCUUACCAGCCUGCAGAAGAAGAGGGAGUACUGGAAGCUGAUGAAGAGGCAGCAGAGGGCCAGGCUAAAGGCCAGGCUAAGAGAGAGGCAGGCGGAGGGCAGCAAUCGUCCAUCUGCGAGAAAUAUCCAGGCUCCAGGGCUGGUUAUUAUUAAAACUGUUAAAGCUGUGAAUACUCCCGUCCUCCAGCCCAAACCUGUCACCCCUCUGGCUGCAGUGAGCAGCAUCCCUUCCGUCUUGGUUGUUACCCAGACAUGUAACGCUGAUACCCUCCAGGUUAAAAUGCCUGUUGCCAGCAGAGAGCAGAACAACACAGGACCUUCGGAGAUUAUGUCCAACUCUACAGUUGUUCCUGAAAAGUGGACAUCCAGAACCGGAACAGAUACAGACUCUGCCCCCUCCCUCCCUACUCUGAAACCCCCAGAUAAUCCACUGUCUAGCAUCAACCUGCAACCCAUUGAACCCCCUGGUCAAAGCCCAAAUUCCAUCCUGAGUCCGAUAAAAAUUCCUUGUACUCAGCGUCAGAGUCCGACGCAUGUGCUACAAUCCUCACCUAAGCUGUCCCCAAUGAGCACCAUGGUUCCUCCAAAGCCCAUCCCAGGGGAGUCUGAGGAGGACUUCCUGAAGAGGAAGCGCGAGUACUGGAGGAUAAAGAAGAAGGAGCAGAGAGCCAGGAAGGCUAUUCGGGACAAGGGACUUGCCUCAAGGCGAGUCUCCAACAACUGGAGACCUAUCCUGCCAGCCCAGGAUCUACAGACACAGGACUGUGGUCAGUGGGUGAAUUCCUCUGAGGAGUCAGGACAGUUAUUGAGCACGUCAAUGGACACCAACCCAGAUUCCUUUACAUACUCAAGUUACACAGCACCAAUAGAAGGUGAAGUAUCAAUGUUUUUACUAAACCUAAAAGAGUGCACACUAAAAUUACCUAAAUGUGUCUACACUGACUUCUCUCCAGAUGAAUCAGAGCUCAUUUUUGCUGACUACGACAAUAACGAAGAGGAAGGUCCCAUCUCAGAUGCGGUGUGGAGAAACCGCUACCUCAUGGACUAUGACCCGCUCAAUCAGCUGCUGGUGUGCAUGGUGUGUGGGGAGUUGCAGUACUCCCACAGCCUGGAAGGAGUGAGGACCCAUAUUGAUGAGGCCCACCCACACACCCUCACCCUGGAACCUGGGGAGAAACAGCGAAUCCUGGAGGCCUGGGACGAGCAGGUUUCCCAGCGGGAACGCUUCUUCACCAGCCAGCUGCAGCAGCACAGUGGGGCCCUGGCAGAAGCACACAGGAACUAAACAGCUAAGAGGAUGACUGCAGGAAUCGGCAGAGGACCUGGGACCAGGAGAAAACCUAACUUUUAAAAUGUCUUAUUUAUUUAUGUGUUUUUAUUAGUCCGUUUACCUUCACAGAAAGUCACCUUGAAAGAGAAUGCUGUACAGGGAAAAUGAGCCCUAAAGCAGCUUUACCUCAUUUUCCUAGCAGGGUUAUAGUGUGGGUUUAUGAAAGGCAGUGUGGACACUUUUUAUACUGAAGCUGCCUUAUUUGAGAUUUUGUUGAUUAUUUAAAAGAGCCCAAAACUCUGGGAAAUACAGUCUUCAUGCUAGAUUAGGCUAAAUGCCUCGACUUUUAAUCUUAAUGUUUUAAACCCUAUAAAGAUCCAGAGUUUUCAGCAGGCUGGGAUCUGAUAAAAGACACCAUAAGCAUAAACAGACAAACAGAGAAGAGGCCACACAGAAAUUGCAGGGCAAUAGCAAUUUUAUUUAUUAUGCAACUUCGUGCAUUUGUUUUAAUUGUAUGGAGUGAUUUAGAAUAAAGUGGAACAGAACUACA
rnacentral:lncRNA from 1 species